rnacentral:rRNA from 1 species
GCCUAGCCCUAAACCUUGGUAAUAUAUCACAUACCCUACCCGCCUGGGAACUACGAGCACCAGCUUAAAACCCAAAGGACUUGGCGGUGCUUUAGACCCCCCUAGAGGAGCCUGUUCUAGAACCGAUAACCCCCGUUCAACCUCACCCUUCCUUGUUUAUCCCGCCUAUAUACCGCCGUCGUCAGCUUACCCUGUGAAGGCCUAAAAGUAAGCACAACUGGCACAACCCAAAACGUCAGGUCGAGGUGUAGCGCAUGGAAGGGGAAGAAAUGGGCUACAUUCCCUAUAUUAGGGAACACGAACGGCGCACUGAAAUACGCGCCUGAAGGAGGAUUUAGUAGUAAGCGGAAAAUAGCGUGUUCCGCUGAAAUCGGCCCUGAAGCGCGC